AGAGGGACAAAGACUUCAGCAUGCCCUGGAGGAGCAGAAAAAAGGGUAGGAGGACAUAGAAGUGCAAUAUCAGAGGAGGAGAGUCGAGCAUAGAGUCAAAUUUGAAAAAAGUCCAGUUAUGGCUUUGUUUCUCAGGAUCAUCCGUGUUUGGUCAUCCACACUGAUUUAAACUAGCUUUUUGUGGAAUUUUGUUGACAUUUGUUCUGACUUUUUAGCAUGAUGGAAAAUGAGAUUCAGAAACUCAGGGAGGAGAAUGAAACAUUGAAACGGGAUCUCCAGCGGCGAAUUCAAGAGUCCUAGGGUGAUCUGGCACUGCAGAAACAGGAAAAGCUAUUGAGCAAAGAGCUGGAGGUCCACGCCAAAGCUUACAGUCAGGCCACCGAAGCCCUGCAGGCCUCUGAAGAACUACAGCAGGCUCAGAAAGAGAUCCAGUGCAGAGAUUGGUGACUUAACAUCACUGCAAUGGAAGGCUCCAGAUAAACUGGAUAAAAGAGUUUGAAGACAAACUAAAACAAAUGGAGAACAAUUAUAAAAAAAAAGAGCAAGAAACCUACAGCAGGAAUUA